rfam:Flavobacteria bacterium BAL38 1101699887716, whole genome shotgun sequence.
AUGGUGUAUUCCGAAAAACCAAAGAGUAGGAA